AAGCACAAACACACUCUGUAGACUGGACAAAGACGAAAGCUUUCACAAUGACAGAACCUGAGUGUUUGGUUCUAUUUCUCAUCCUGUCACUAAACUGGACAGGUACUGAGGGUCAAACACUGACUGAGUCUGACGCUGUGGUUAAAAGGCCUGGAGAAUCUCACACACUGACCUGCACAUAUUCAGGGUUUUCUAGUCAUCCUCAUAACGCUUGGAUCAGACAGGCUGCUGGGAAAGGACUGGAGUGGGUCGCUUAUAUUAGUAGUGGUGGUAGCAUCUACUACUCUAAUUCAGUCAAAGGCCGGUUCACCAUCUCCAGAGACAACAGCAGACAGCAGGUGUUUCUGCAGAUGAACAGUCUGACGAUGGAAGAUUCUGCUGUUUAUUAUUGUGCUCGAGAGCCACAGUGACACAAGAGGAAGCAA